rnacentral:tRNA from 1 species
GCUGUUGUAGCUCAGGGGUAGAGCACUCCCUUGGUAAGGGAGAGGUCCAGGGUUCAAAUCCCUGCAACAGCA